CAAGAGAAAAGAUUAAACCCAUAGAUGAAGCUGAUGUGCCCAUGGCAUCGUCCUCCCUCAAAGAUGAUGAUGCAUUACAAUGAGGGAGCCAAGAGACAAGUUUAAACCCAAGAUGAAGCUGAUGCGCCCAUGGCAUCGUCCUCCCUCAAAGAUGAUGAGCAGGGCACACCGAUCUUCCUCAUGUUGAUAUGCCCAUGGCAUCGUCCUCCCUCAAAGAUGAUGAGCAGGGCACACCGAUCUUCCUCAUGUUGAUAUGCCCAUGGCAUCGUCCUCCCUCAAAGAUGAUGAGCAGGGCACACCGAUCUUCCUCAUGUUGAUAUGCCCAUGGCAUCGUCCUCCCUCAAAGAUGAUGAGCAGGGCACACCGAUCUUCCUCAUGUUGAUAUGCCCAUGGCAUCGUCCUCCCUCAAAGAUGAUGAGCAGGGCAUACCGAUCGUCCUCAUGUUGAUACGCCCAUGGCAUCGUCCUCCCUCAAAGAUGAUGAGCAGGGCACACCGAUCUUCCUCAUGUUGAUACGCCCAUGGCAUCGUCCUCCCUCAAAGAUGAUGAGCAGGGCAUACCGAUCUUCCUCAUGUUGAUAUGCCCAUGGCAUCGUCCUCCCUCAAAGAUGAUGAGCAGCAUUUCCUGAAAAUGGUGCUGAAGGGGAAAAUCCUCAAAGGAAACAAAAAUCUCCAUGAUGUCCCACAGAGAUUGGAGCAGUGAGGAGACAUUUCUGUGGGCACAUUGCUAAUGGGAGACUAUCCAUUGUGAUUAAAAUCAAACAGUGUAAAAAUGCUCAAUGUCCUGUAUGAGACAGUCGCUCUUUUCAAAAUGUAAGCGACUUUGUCAUGAAUCAUGGUUUAAUGCUAAAAAAGAGGAACAGUUGUUAAAUAAUCAGGUUAAAAAAAUCUAUAGACACAUCUGAGACAUAUACAUGUUUGCAAAAGUCAUUUAGUUUGCAGUAGGGCUGGGCCAUAUCAUACCGUUCACGGUAAUACCGGUAUAAUUUUGGGCAACGAUAAGAAAAUGAAAUAUUGCGAUAGAA